UCCACCCAAGAAGAGUGGUGAGCCUGAUCUUCCCCCUUCCCCUCGCUCCUCCCGCCCCUCCCUUGGAGCCUGCUGGCCUGCCUGAGUUGUGUGGGGACCUGGUGCUUCGCUCCACGUCUGCUGUGUCCCCCCCGGGACUGCCCAAGCUGGGUGCCUGCAGGAAGAGGGGGAGAGCUGCCGGUGCUGCAGAGGGAAGCACCAGACCCCCCACCGGCAGCCCAGGGACCGCUAUGCCCACUGGAAGCUCACCCUUCCCUCCCUGGCAGAAGGAGCAUAUGAUCUUGGUGCAAAGAAGACUUUGGACGAUUUCCUCCCAGGAAACAACAAUGUCUUCUGAUUUAACAACCUUCCAUCGAAAUACCCGAGUCAAUUGAAGUGAACAGGAUUUGUAUCUCCCUUCAGGUUAACUGUUUUGCUUUUCCCACUAGGCUUCCUGUCAUUGAGCUACUUAGGCAUUUCUAACAGCACAGCAACAACACAAGCAAAUCGCUUUGUUUAUAGUAUUUUACUGUCUCUUUACAGUCUUUGUAUAGUGUAGGUGGCGUUGUGUGUCUGAACUUGAGCUAGGGAAUUUAUUUGAAACAAACAAUUUAUUCAGUGAAUUUAGUCCUUUAUCGUGUUCAUGGAUUAUCUGUGAAAAGACUUUUGUUUGUAUAAGUCCCCAUGUUACCAAAAAAAUAUUCUGAGAAUUGCUUUAUUCUGAAUAUACUUUGGCCUAUGGAAAGAUGUUCCUAAUUUUGCUGUUUACUGUGAUUGGUCACUUUUGUCGUGAUGCAUUGUUUUGGCUGCCUGUUCGAUUUUCCAAACCCACAGAGAAACUAUUAAGUUAUAUGGGACUUAGAUUUUUCCCUCCUAUGGUUACCCUUCAAACAAAAAUGCAUCUCUGUCCCUACAAGUAGUUGUGCAAAGUGUUUAAGUAGGACUGCAAAGACCAUCAAAGUGAAUUUACAUUAUAUAUUGGGACAAAGGUAUAUGAAUAGCUAUUUUGUUUCAGUAGCCCAGCUCUACCAUGAACAAAGCCAAUAUAAGUACUCUCUUUAUUCACAGAUGGCACAUAAAUACUAACUUCAAAAAUAUAUUGUGCUUUCGCAUAGCUAGAUUGUGUUUUUCUUUAAGCUUCCUUUGUAGCUUUUUUAUGCUGUUUUAUCCCACUCUUAGGUAUUCCUAUAAUGUACAUGGUAACUGAGCAUACAUCUUUACAGUAUUUACUUCCACAGUUCCCCUGAUAGGCAUUAUCCCCAUUUUACCGAUUAAAAAAUUGAGUCAUUGGGGGGGAGGGGAGUGACAUGGCCUAGAAUCAAACAGAAAUCUAUGGCAGAGCAUGGACUUGAACCCUGGUCUCCAAAGUACUAGGCUAGUGGCAUUAUCAGUUUUUAAUUUUAUCAUAUUUAUUUGCUUAAGCCUAACUCGUAUAAUGGAAAUUUUAGUAUUUAAAAAGAAGUUGUCGUUGGGGGAUGAUCUGAAGGAUUACUAAGCCUUUUUUUUUUUCUUUGAGAUUCCUAGACCUAAUUUCUGUUGAAUUUUUUUUUAAUGAAAUAAAAGGCCCCUUUUAACUGAGACAAAACUGGAAUGUUUUGACCAACUCUAAUGAUUAAUAUAUGUGGUGAAUUUUACAGUAAUGAGGAAACAUUUUCCUAUUUAAUAUCUCAUAAUGCACAUCAUCUAAGGGCAUGUACAGGCAGUCCUGGGACCUGAUCUGACUUUAAGCUGCAUGAUUGUAGAUAGGGGUCCUGCAUGUCCAUACAUUGCUAGUGCUGGGAGCUAUGCUGGAAAUACAGUCUAAAUCAGGAUCAGGGGAAGGGUGGGUGAGAUAAGGUGGGGACUAAUGGGUUAGGGGGUGUUGGCAGGAUCAGGACAGCUAGUGGGUACAGGAGGAAGAGGUUGUCUGUCCAGGGUUUGGAGUGUCAGAGAGCUAAAAAUAGCCCAGUGACAGUGAGGGGGUAGAGAAUAGGAGAAGCACAGUCCAAGGGCUGGGGCAAGGAGCUAGGCUUUCUCAGGCCCACGGCUACACUCUGAACAUGUUAAUACACAUUCAUUUAGAUUGGGUGCAGGUUAGCCUGAUCUACAUUGUGCACCUCCUCACAUGAACCAAGUUAGAUUGGGCCAGCCAUUUUUCUGCCCUAUCUAAACUCCUUGAAUGGAAAUACAGUUCAGCACUUAGAUCAACCUAACUAGUUAUUUCAACUCUAGUUAGGUUGAUCUAAGUUUAACAUCUGCACACACCCUAAAUUUGUUUGCCCAGCUAGUGGUGCGGUCUCAUUCUCUGUUUGCAGUUACAAGGAAGUCAUUUUUUUUUAAUGGAAAGAACAAGCAGAUUUCCCUAAUCAAUGAUUCCCUCCCCAUCUUUGGCCUAGGCAUAACUUUAAUAUGAGUUUAUCACAGACAAAUUGUUGGGUGCCUCUUCUUUAAAACAUUGGUGGCUUCCUGUCACUGAGUGCUUUUUAUUGUGCAAAAUGUAACAAAUGCUUAAUUGUAGCAGUUUAGGUAUUUGGGGCCUUGAUUUUAAAGCAUGUAAAUCUUCAAAAGAAGCUAUCCAAAUUCCUGUGUACCUGAAGCAGAGAAAAUAGGAAUAUAUGUAAAGAACAGGUACUUAAGUGUCUCUGGUCAUUCUUGAACAUUUUUCUGCUUGUUUUUCUCAGAGCUGUGUGGCUACCUUACCACUGACUUUUGUUUUCAUGUUUUUGUCUUAAUGCUGUCAGCAUCUCUUUGCAUUAAGCUGCCUUUCUAUGUGGCACAUAACUGAAACUUGCAUAGCAUUUAAGUGAUACUCAUUUUCACCUUUUAUUUGCCUCUAAAUCUCUCAUUGAGUUUAUUGUGCUCCUUGCCAAUUGGUUCAAGUGCAUGAGAAAUCAUAGUCUCUAGCUUUUGUACCUCUCCCUAAUACUUGCAACAUAACACUUUGCCACCCCUGCUCUUUGUCUUGUUGGUUAAAUUGAUGUAAAAUAUGAGACUAGCAUUAUUGUUCGUAAUGCAACAUCGUGUCCAGUGAUCUGAGCUCUUAGAAUAGCAGAACAUGGGUGUUGUGGAGUGACGUGAUCAAAUAUAAAAUCUUCUAUAAACCAAGUGCUACAGUUUACCACUCAAAAUAUUGCAGCAUUACAUUUUAUAAGCUGUUGUAUUUGGACCAUUAUGGUAGAAUUAGUAAACAAAACCAUUGUUGGGUAAUUUCCAUUGAUGCAGCUUCAUCUGAAACUGUUUCUACAGCCAGCAAUGGAUUGUUUCCCAUAGAUCAAUUCUACUUAAAGAACAGCGAGAAGACUGAAAAUAAACAGCUACAGGUUACAGCCACUGAAUAUGCCUUUCUAAGCUGAAAUAGCUUGAUGAGUGUUUUACAAGAAGGCAGUGUUACAUACGUUAUACAUUAGCAGCAAUGCCAGGCUGAUUCCUUGGGGUAUGCAUUUGCUUUUGGAAACUGGCAGUGGGAUUUGGGUAAAGAAAGUAUAAUAGUGUUUCUAGGAGUUAGUUGGACUCCAUUAAACCAUGGUUUCAAUUUUAGCUGUCUUUCACCAAGUUUUUGUGUAGAGGGUUCCCUCUUUGUUGGUCAUUCAAAAAGUCUAAAUUGUGUUGUUAUGUUAGGUUGGGGAAGGCUUAUUCUGAUUAGAUCUUGUGAUGGCCACCAGAAACUCUUCCUUUUCUCUGAUGCUAGCGAAUCAGUAAUAGGUGUGUGGGGAAAAUGGGUGUCAUAGACAAUGAAUAGAAGAGAUGAGAAAGCUCUGAGCACUUUGCCUUUCCCUGAGUAUGCAUGUCUAGAUGUCUUGCUUAAAUUCCUGAACCAUUUUCAGCCUUCUCUUAUAAUUGUGCACUUUCUAUGCUCUUUUUCCACUGCGGUCUUCUAACCCCCUGCACUGUUACAUUAGUGCAUUAUAAUAGGGGAUGUAUUUGCAUAUUUUAAGUAUAUUUGCAAGCUUAAAUAUUCCUAUUUAGAUAACAACAAAAUUAGAGCCUCCAAUAUUCUGCAAUUCACCAAUUAUCAUUAAUAAGUAGGACUACCAGGAAAUCUUUGCACAAGCAUUUUAUAAUAAAAACAUGGUUACCAUCAAAAUUGAAUUGUUUCAAUAUGUAUUAAUUUAGAUAAAAUGUUGUUUAAGGGAGAAAAACAAAGCGCAGUGUUUUCAGCUAAAAAGACAAAUCGCAUUUUCAAAAAUCACUUUAAAGAAAAUCAUAAUUUUUUCUAUGUAAAAGCAUUUUCAAAAAUUGAAAACAUUACAAUUAAAAUAUUUCUGUUUUAUCAAAGUGUAAUAUUUUGAUAUUAAAUGACAUCUCAUUGAUUCAACUUUGUGAAAAAAUAUUUUUUUUUUCUUCCUCCUCAUUUUGGAAUGGGAAUAAUUGAAAUUGCAGAAUUUUCUAGUGUAUGGGAGAAUCUGAUUCCUACCAGCUCCACAUACAAGAACUACAGAAGCAAGGCACCAAGUGGAUUUUAAAUGGCCAUAAUUUGUUCAGCUAUUUCUUAAGCAAAAUUUACUUAAAAAAAAAAAUCAACAUAAAACCAUUAUUUGGGAGAUUCCAUUAUACCAAGCUGCCCAUCAAAAUGAAAAUAAACAUUGUAAUAGCCAGAAGAGUCACUGUAAACCUAACCCUAACAAGUAAAAUGACAUGGAAACUAUACAUAGAAAGCAUCAGAGAGAACAGUAAAGCAAAUUAAAAUUCUAGUUCUGUGAACAUAUCCUUUUUUGUGUAACUAGCAACGGGAAAAUCUUCCCACAUGGCAGGGUUAGGUUUGUGAGCAGUGAACCUGGGUUCCUCUACCAGCUUUUUCUCUGCUUUUUAUAAACUGGUUUGUUUGGGGUUUAAGGACUUACCAGGGCCAAUUCUCCCUUUAAUUUGCAAAAUUAGUCUAGAAAUCUUGCAAGAACUGUCUUAGGGGGCCGACCUUUUAGGAAGGUAAGCUUUACACCUUCCUCAUAAGCCAUUUUGAUCCCCUUUUCCUGCCCAAUCUAUUUCUGUGCUUUCUGGUUCCUGGCCUGUGCUCCCUGCCUGCCCUGUUGCUCUGUUCUCUGCUCACUGUGUGAUUAAUCUUGACAGAAUUUGCUUGAAUGUUAAAUAAAUAUAUACAAUCGGGUUCAAGUCUGACGCAGACCAGUCAGUUUUCUCUUUACCCAAGUUGAUUUGUCUCUUCCUGAUUGUAUCCUUCAGUGAUGACAAUUUGCUACCAUUUUUAGUAGAGUUAUUUGGGUGUUAUAUUACUGAAACAGUUGUUCAGAUAAAGUUUUAUACUAAGGCAAUAUUAUAUAGAAAUUGUUUGGUCUGGUAAUGAAAGGAAAAAUGGUGUUUUAUUGAUAUUCUUUUUGAAAGCAUAUAACAUAAACGUACUUGCACAGAAAGCUGUAGAUAAUUCCUAUAAUUCUGAAUAGAGUAAUGCAUUUUAAAGCCAGGAGGAGCUAUUAAAAUUGUCUGGGAUGGCUCGUGCAUGUUAAACAAGACACAGAAUUCAUGCUGUAAUCCCUGCAUCAAACCCCUGAUUUCUGGUUGUGCUUAGAGCAUGAAACAGUAUACAAAGGAAUAAAACUCUAUAGCCAUCCA